rnacentral:rRNA from 1 species
GACGAACGCUGGCGGCGUGCUUAACACAUGCAAGUCGAACGGAGAAGCCCUUCGGGGUGGAUCAGUGGCGAACGGGCGAGUAACACGUGCGCAACCUGCCCCUGGCUCUGGGACAACUACUGGAGACGGUGGCUAAUACAGGAUACGACGCGCCUCGGCGUCGAGGGUGGGUGGAAAGUUUUUCGGCUGGUGAUGGGCUCGCGGCCUAUCAGCCUGUUGGUGAGUUGAAGGCUCACCAAGGCGAGGACGGGUAGCCGGCCUGAGAGGGCGACCGGCCACACUGGGACUGAGACACGGCCCAGACUCCUACGGGAGGCAGCAGGGGGGAAUAUUGCACAAUGGGCGAAAGCCUGAUGCAGCGACGCCGCGUGAGGGAUGACGGCCUUCGGGUUGUAAACCUCUUUCAGCUCCGAAGAAGCGAAAGUGACGGUAGGAGCAGAAGAAGCACCGGCUAACUACGUG